rnacentral:rRNA from 1 species
AUUGAACGCUGGCGGCAGGCCUAACACAUGCAAGUCGAACGGUAACAGGAAGAAGCUUGCUUCUUUGCUGACGAGUGGCGGACGGGUGAGUAAUGUCUGGGAAACUGCCUGAUGGAGGGGGAUAACUGCUGGAAACGGUAGCUAAUACCGCAUAACGUCGCAAGACCAAAGAGGGGGACCUUCGGGCCUCUUGCCAUCGGAUGUGCCCAGAUGGGAUUAGCUAGUAGGUGGGGUAACGGCUCACCUAGGCGACGAUCCCUAGCUGGUCUGAGAGGAUGACCAGCCACACUGGAACUGAGACACGGUCCAGACUCCUACGGGAGGCAGCAGUGGGGAAUAUUGCACAAUGGGCGCAAGCCUGAUGCAGCCAUGCCGCGUGUAUGAAGAAGGCCUUCGGGUUGUAAAGUACUUUCAGCGGGGAUGAAGGGAGUAAAGUUAAUACCUUUGCUCAUUGACGUUACCCGCAGAAGAAGCACCGGCUAACUCCGUG